ACAAGUUAUGACCUAAAUUCAAAAAAGUAGGACAAAAAUCACAAAAACUGAUUAAAAUGGUAAAGAAGAAUGCUCAACAAGAGAGAAACAUAGAUGAACAACUCAAGAAGACGAUUAAAAAUCCUCCGAAAGGGAAAAAAAAAAGAAACGGUGCCAUAUAGGUGCUCGUUGCAUCAUUUGUGCACGAAAGCAUCUGGAAUUAAGGCUUUGAUACAAAAAGGAGGGACAACAUAUGCCGGCUAUUUUUUCAUCUCCAUGUUGGCGCUUUUUCAAACCUUUCUAUGAAUUCUUGAAGAAGACGAGUUAAAGAAAAAUACGAAAGCCGUCAAGAUGAUCAACAAGAAAAGGUGCAGAAUGUGAGAUCAAAGCUGGCCUAUAAGAUUCUCCUUGAAAAAAGAGAACAAUACUCACAUGUCGUGCCUAAAAAAAGCACCAUUCUUUUGGCAAAUUCAGUUUGUGUUGAAGUUUAAACUACUUGUAAAAUGGUUAUCGACUAAUUGUAAUGGUGACAAAUUACAGUUGAUGUAAAAAAAGAUUUAA